UACGAAGGUCCCGAGCGUUGUUCGGAAUCACUGGGCGUAAAGGGAGCGUAGGCGGUGAGGUAAGUCAGACGUGAAAUCCCGGGGCUCAACCCCGGAACUGCGUCCGAUACUGCCCUACUUGAGCAUUGGAGAGGUAGCUGGAAUUCACGGUGUAGCAGUGAAAUGCGUAGAUAUCGUGAGGAACACUCGUGGCGAAAGCGAGCUACUGGACAAUUGCUGACGCUGAGGCUCGAAGGCCAGGGUAGCGAAAGGG
rnacentral:rRNA from 1 species